CCUACGGGAGGCAGCAGUGGGGAAUUUUCCGCAAUGGGCGAAAGCCUGACGGAGCAAUACCGCGUGAGGGAGGAAGGCUCUUGGGUUGUAAACCUCUUUUGUCAGGGAAGAAGAUCUGACGGUACCUGACGAAUCAGCAUCGGCUAACUCCGUGCCAGCAGCCGCGGUAAUACGGGGGAUGCAAGCGUUAUCCGGAAUUAUUGGGCGUAAAGCGUCCGCAGGUGGUUGUUCAAGUCUGCUGUUAAAGCAUGGGGCUUAACUCCAUAUAGGCAGUGGAAACUGGACGACUAGAGUACGGUAGGGGUCGCGGGAAUUCCCAGUGUAGCGGUGAAAUGCGUAGAUAUUGGGAAGAACACCAGUGGCGAAAGCGCGCGGCUGGACCUGUACUGACACUGAGGGACGAAAGCUAGGGGAGCGAAAGGGAUUAGAUACCCCUGUAGUCCUAGCUGUAAACGAUGGAUACUAGGUGUUGCCCGUAUCGACCCGGGCAGUGCGUACGCUACGACGUACGUAUCCGCCGUCGGGUAGGUACGCGACGCGAGUAGUGAACGUACAAGGAAGUUAGACGGCGUGAGACGUCGCCGACGGACGACGACCGAGGGAGGUAGG
rnacentral:rRNA from 1 species